rnacentral:rRNA from 1 species
ACAUCCAGAGAACUUAGCAGAGAUGCUUUGGUGCCUUUCGGGGAACUCUGAGACAGGUGCUGCAUGGCUGUCGUCAGCUCGUGUUGUGAAAUGUUGGGUUAAGUCCCGNAACGAGCGCAACCCUUAUCCUUUGUUGCCAGCGGUUCGGCCGGGAAACUCAAAGGAGACUGCCGGUGAUAAACCGGAGGAAGGUGGGGAUGACGUCAAGUCAUCAUGGCCCUUACGGCCAGGGCUACACACGUGCUACAAUGGCGCAUACAAAGAGAAGCGACCUCGCGAGAGCAAGCGGACCUCAUAAAGUGCGUCGUAGUCCGGAUUGGAGUCUGCAACUCGACUCCAUGAAGUCGGAAUCGCUAGUAAUCGUAGAUCAGAAUGCUACGGUGAAUACGUUCCCGGGCCUUGUACACACCGCCCGUCACACCAUGGGAGUGGGUUGCAAAAGAAGUAGGUAGCUUAACCUUCGGGAGGGCGCUUACCACUUUGUGAUUCAUGACUGGGGUGAAGUCGUAACAAGGUAGGCGUAGUGCU